UUUCAGUUCAGUGAGUGGAUUACAAUUACUCCUGAUUAAAAUGGACUAUGGAGUGGAACUAUCAUCAGAACCACUGGAACGCCCAAUUUGCGUUACACCUCAG